UACGUAGGGAGCGAGCGUUGUCCGGAAUUACUGGGCGUAAAGGGCGCGUAGGCGGGAACUUAAGUUAGAUGUGAAAACUCCGGGCUUAACCUGGAGACUGCAUUUAAAACUGGGUUUCUUGAGGGCAGGAGAGGAAAGUGGAAUUCCUAGUGUAGCGGUGAAAUGCGUAGAUAUUAGGAGGAACACCAGUGGCGAAGGCGACUUUCUGGACUGUACCUGACGCUGAGGCACGAAAGUGCGGGGAUCGAACAGG
rnacentral:rRNA from 1 species